rnacentral:lncRNA from 1 species
CUUGUUCUUACUCUUUGUUGAUGAUUAAUGCAUCUAUUGCGAGUAAGUUUUGCUAGAAUGUUCUGAACAUUCUUUCCCUGCAGUGAGAAUUUGUGGAUCCUGUUGUAUCAAUACUCUCACUUCUCUCUUUCCCUGACUGUUGUAAAAUUCAGUGUUGUUGCGCUUUGAUAGUGACCAGUUCAUAAAAGAAAGCUCAUCUAGAGACUGUUCUAGUGCCAUUUUCUUCAUCACCAGGAUAAGUUGCCUGGGUUCACAUCCAUGUCAUAUGCUGCUCCUAGUGUGCUUCUAGACAUUCUAUUUCAGAUUCCUGUCCAAGCUUUACAUUUUAGUGGUGGUGUACAUGUUUAGCAUUCAAAUACUGCAAAUAUCAAUGUUCUGCCGUCCUGCCCAUGGCUUUAUCUCUUUGCUGUAAUCAAUGUUUUUCAGGUGAAGAUAAAUAAUCAUUUGAAAUCAGUUCUUCCACGUGACAUUAGUUGCAUUUGAUUUCCUGUCUCAUGUUAAUUCACAGAGAAGAAAUAGACCGAAGCUGCACACUCGGAUCGCCAGUUGGUUCCUCUUUCUUUCUUUCUUCAGCCCUGGCCGUGUACUGUCUACUUUGUGUAAUUCUUUUAAAUCUGUAAUCUGUUACAGAAUGACUAUGCUAAUGGUUAAUGUAGAAAAGUAGCUUCACGUGAUUGCAAUGAAUUGUCCGCUUCAUUACCACCACUCGAAAUUUCCCGUCCCCUGCUUCAGUCCAUUUUAUUUUUUACUGGAAGUACCUGUUCCAUAGAAAGCUCAUCUAAAGCCUGUUCUGUAGUCAUUUUCUUCAUUGCUGAUAUACGGUGUUUGGGUUCACUUCCAUGCAUAUGCUUCUCCUAGUAUGUUUCUAGACAACGUAUUUCAGUUUGCUCUGUUAAAGCUUUAAUUUUUAGUGGAGAUGCACAUAAUGUACAUGUUUAUCAUUGAAAUUCUGCAGUAUUGAUGCUUCUGCCGUCCUGCCUAUGGCCUUUAUAUGAUCAAUGUUCUUGAGGUGGAAAUUGUUUGUCAUUCAUGAUCCGAAAUUGGUUUAUCCCCAACAUUAGUCGUGUGAGAUUUUGUGAAACCCUGUUUUAAAAGUUUAAGUUAUUAGAUGAAGAUGUGGCCUAUUAUUUAAAUAUUCUAAUACACUUAGUCUGGUUUUUUUGGCUAGUACUAAGUGUAGAAAUUUAUUUGGGGAGACAAAUGGACUUGGAAAAAUUCCAACUCAAGACCUCUAACUUUGAUACCAUUUCAAAUUUUGUAGUAUCACUAUUAACCGUUCUAAAAGUUUAAGUUAUUAGAUGAAGAUGUGAUUUGUUAUUUAAAUAUUCCAACAAGUUGCAUUCGAAGUUGUGUCAUGUUAACUUGGAAGAAGAACUAGGCCUAAGCAGCGCAACCCACAUCACGUGAUCGGUUCCUUGUUCUUCUUUUAUUACUUUAGGCAGUAGGGCCUGGUUGUGUACCGUCUACUUGUGUGUAAUUCUUUUGGCAUCUGCAACUUUGGUAGUGGUUCUUGUGGUGAAGUAGCUUCAUGUGAUUGCAGCGAAUUGUCCGCUUCAUUACCAUCCACUGAAUAUUCACUGUUCCUGCUUCAG